rnacentral:tRNA from 1 species
GUGGCUCAGUGGUAGAAUGCUUGCCUGGAAAGCAUGAAGCCCUGGGUUCAAGUCCCAAC